rnacentral:rRNA from 1 species
UACGUAGGGUGCGAGCGUUGUCCGGAAUUACUGGGCGUAAAGAGCUCGUAGGCGGUCUGUCGCGUCGGUCGUGAAAACUUGGGGCUUAACCCUGAGCUUGCGGUCGAUACGGGCAUCACUGGAGUUCGGCAGGGGGAGACUGGAAUUCCUGGUGUAGCGGUGAAAUGCGCAGAUAUCAGGAGGAACACCGGUGGCGAAGGCGGGUCUCUGGGCCGAUGACUGACGCUGAGGAGCGAAAGCGUGGGGAGCAAACAGG